rnacentral:rRNA from 1 species
UGAAUCAUCGAAUCUUUGAACGCACCUUGCGCUCCUUGGUAUUCCUUGGAGCAUGCCUGUUUGAGUAUCAUGAAAUCUUCAAAGUCAAUCUUUUUGUUAAUUCAAUUGGUUGUGCUUUGGUAUUGGAGGUCUUUGCAGCUUCACACCUGCUCCUCUUCGUGCAUUAGCUGGAUCUCAGUGUUAUGCUUGGUUCCACUCGGCGUGAUAAGUUAUCUAUCGCUGAGGACACUGUAAAAAGGUGGCCAAGGUAAAUGCAGAUGAACCGCUUCCAACAGUCCAUUUGCUUGGACAAUAUUUUUAUGAUCUGAUCUCAAAUCAGGUAGGACUACCCGCUGAACUUAAGCAUAUCAAUAAGCGGAGGAAAAGAAACUAACAAGGAUUCCCCUAGUAACGGCGAGUGAAGCGGGAAGAGCUCAAAUUUAAAAUCUGGCAGCUUUAUGUUGUCCGAGUUGUAGUCUAGAGAAGCAUCAUCCGUGCUGGACCAUGUACAAGUCUCUUGGAACAGAGCGUCAUAGAGGGUGAGAAUCCCGUCCUUGACAUGGACUCCCAGUGCUUUGUGUUGUGCUCUCAACGAGUCGAGUUGUUUGGGAAUGCAGCUCAAAAUGGGUGGUAAAUUCCAUCUAAAGCUAAAUAUUGGCGAGAGACCGAUAGCGAACAAGUACCGUGAGGGAAAGAUGAAAAGCACUUUGGAGAGAGAGUUAAACAGUACGUGAAAUUGUUGAAAUGGAAACGCUUGAAGUCAGUCGCGUUCUCUGGGAUUCAGCCUUGCUUUUGCUUGGUGCAUUUCCUAGUCUACGGGCCAGCAUGAAUUUCGACCGGUGGAAAAAGAUUUGGGGAAUGUGGCACCUUCGGGUGUGUUAUAGCCCCUUGUCACAUACACUGGUUGGGAUUGAGGUCUUAGUGCACGCUUCGGUUGUGCUUUGAUGCUGGCGUAAUGGCUUUAAACGACCCGUCUUGAAACACGGACCAAGGAGUCUAACAUGUCUGCGAGUGUUUGGGUGAAAAACCCGAGCGCGAAAUGAAAGUGAUAGUUGGGAACCUCUUCAGAGGGGCACCGACGCCCGGACCAGACCUUCUGUGACGGAUCCGAGGUAGAGCAUAUAUGUUGGGACCCGAAAGAUGGUGAACUAUGCCUGCAUAGGGUGAAGCCAGAGGAAACUCUGGUGGAGGCUCGUAGCGAUUCUGACGUGCAAAUCGAUCGUCAAAUGUGGGUAUAGGGGCGAAAGA